rnacentral:rRNA from 1 species
GAUGAACGCUGGCGGCGUGCCUAAUACAUGCAAGUCGAGCGAACGGACGAGAAGCUUGCUUCUCUGAUGUUAGCGGCGGACGGGUGAGUAACACGUGGAUAACCUACCUAUAAGACUGGGAUAACUUCGGGAAACCGGAGCUAAUACCGGAUGAUAUUUUGAACCGCAUGGUUCAAAAGUGAAAGACGGUCUUGCUGUCACUUAUAGAUGGAUCCGCGCUGCAUUAGCUAGUUGGUAAGGUAACGGCUUACCAAGGCAACGAUGCAUAGCCGACCUGAGAGGGUGAUCGGCCACACUGGAACUGAGACACGGUCCAGACUCCUACGGGAGGCAGCAGUAGGGAAUCUUCCGCAAUGGGCGAAAGUCUGACGGAGCAACGCCGCGUGAGUGAUGAAGGUCUUCGGAUCGUAAAACUCUGUUAUUAGGGAAGAACAUAUGUGUAAGUAACUGUGCACAUCUUGACGGUACCUAAUCAGAAAGCCACGGCUAACUACGUG